rnacentral:misc_RNA from 1 species
ACCACCACCUUGCCCCAUGCCAUUGCCAUAGCCCCCACCUUGACCAAAGCCACCGCCAUUACCCCCACCUGACCCAUACCCACCAUCCCCAAUGCCUAUUCCACCACCUUUCCCGUAACCUCCUCCGAGACCAGGCCAUCCGGCCCCACCACCACCCGAGCCAUAGCCAAAACCACCACCUGACCCUACUUCGUAACCACCAGCAAAUGUUCCAUAGCCAGCCUUUAGGCCCUUGACACCAUGCAUUUGUUUAUUUUCAUCGCCCAUAUGACGCUCCCCACUGAGUGACCUCGCUUCUUCCUUGGCUUGAAGAAGGAUAAAACUACAGAGCCCAAACGCCAGAAGGACGAGACCCCAUGACACCACAUUUUGUCUUUUCAUGACUCUUUCUCUAUAAGCCGCAAAGAAAAAUAGAAAGCAAAAGCUUACAAGAACGACACAGAUGGGCGCAUGAAAAAUGGAAGUUCUCUCACCCACGAGCUUGUAUGGACACCGGUGGAAGUGUGUAUAUAGUUCAUGCAAUG